rnacentral:rRNA from 1 species
CAGUAGCCACGGUAAUACGGAGGGGGCUAGCGUUGUUCGGAAUUACUGGGCGUAAAGCGCACGUAGGCGGCUUGGUAAGUUAGAGGUGAAAGCCUGGAGCUCAACUCCAGAAUUGCCUUUAAGACUGCCGAGCUAGCAGGUGAGAGAGGUAAGUGGAAUUCCGAGUGUAGAGGUGAAAUUCGUAGAUAUUGGGAAGAACACCGGUGGCGAAGGCGGCGACCUGGUCCGACACUGACGCUGAGGCGCGAAAGCGUGGGGAGCAAACAGGAUUAGAUACCCCGGUAGUCCCUGUCUCUUAUAC